GCAGCCCAGGAUAAAAUUGGGUGCCUUGGUCACAAGGGCAAACUGCUUGCUCAUGGUCAGCCUGCUGUCCACAAGGACACCCAGAUCCUUCUCUGCAGAGCUCCUUUCAUGCAGUUUUUUUUCAAAGUUUUUGUCAUCUGAAAUGAAUAACUGAGCAAUGAGAAAACCUGGAAGAAAGAAGACAAUUUCCCUCCCACUGUUUACAGAGAGCACAAAUGAGGUUCAACAAUAACUGCAUACUGCCAUAAUCAGAACCAUACAACUCCUCUGAGACAUGGAAGGAGAUAAGAAGAAUGAGUGAAGAGAAAGGAGCUGGAUCUGGCUCUCCUUGCUACAUGGACUGUGGUUAGGAUGCUUUUGCCUAAAUCUUGGCAUUUAGCAUCAUGAUUCAGACAAUCAUUAGUCCUACAUUACUGUACCUGGCCUCUGACCACUGCAAAUGGAUGCCUGUUUCAUUUCUGCUUUGUUUGGCAAUCUUGAAUAUUCAGUGUAACCUCAAAUGGCAUUGUGGUUAUGCAACCUAAUAAUGACUCCAUUUGUACUGACUCUAAAGAGAGUGUAGGUACCUAGUACGAACAUUUUUCUUAAACUCCAACAGAAUCCUAAACUUAAGUUUAGCUACAUUAACCUCAGACUGAAUUUUGCAUUCAUUAAUGUACUUGUAGUGUUUUGAAUACCAGUCAGAUUAAGUCUAGAAAGUGCUGGCUGCAUUACCAGUGUACUAAAUUUCCUCAGUUCCAAGCCAGGGAAAUAUAUUGUUUCCCUACUGCUGCUCUCAUUCUUUUCUUACUUUUUAGCUUCAUUUCAAUUGCUGCAAAUACUAUCUUGGCCCAGGCUUAGGAAAACAUAGCAAAUUAGAUCCACACAUCCGGACGUCUCACUAUGUUGGCAGAGUAGAAGUGUGACUCACUGCACUUACCUGUCUGUAUAUACGUGCUUUUUUUAAAAAUCAAUUGUUGAAGAGAAAAUAUCAUGAUUCUUAUGCAAAGAAACAAUAGAACAAAAAACUCACCAAAAAAUCAGAGUUUAAGGAUACUGUCUUUUGUGCUAAGAUACUUGUUGCCAAAACAAUUAAGAGCUGAGUAAUGGAAAUAAUUGCUCAGAAUUUCCAGUGAAAUCUUGUUUUCCUUAUUACAAACUUAGAUAUGGAACCAUUUCUACCAAGACAGUUCAACAGAAUUAUCCAUUAAUUUUAAAGAAUCAGAUAAGAUCCCUUACCUCAUCUGAAAGAUUAGAUAAUGUAACCUUUAAAGAAAGAGGAAACAUAAAUAAAAAUAUUAAGUCUAUGAUUGACAGAAAAAGAAAAAUACGUUUCCCAAAGUAUUGCUUUCAGAUGCAUUCAGUUAAAUCUACAUAUGUGGACAGCAAUUAUAUGGGAGGUGUCAUUAUUCUUUCUUAAACAUCGAUUCAACUUCUGAUGUGUAUCCAAAGUUGUGUGUGUGUUCCUUGCUGCAAAUAAUAAGAAAGAUCUUUUUUGAUGCUUUUUAUUGCCGUUACCUCACAUAAAGGAAGUAUUUAGUUAAAUCCUAUUUCUUCCAAUACUCAUCAGUAUAAUCUGUACCGAAAUUGUAAUUACAAUGGUAUUUAAUCAAACAUCAAAACCAAGAGUGUAGUUUGGGAUAUGCUGAGGCAAGUCACAGAAGAAAACAGUGUUAUCUAACAUCAGCAGGUCAAAUUUCUCUUUAGUUCUUUUAAGAUGGCUCUGAUCUGACAUGGAGGAGCUGCUGUGCUCUGCUCACAGAGGUCAUAUUUGCAGCCCCUCUCUGCCAAAACACAGGGCUUUCCAGGUUUCCAAAACUCUAGGAAUGUUAAGUAUUUGAAGAUUCACAAGACAAAUAAUAUGCUCAAUAAUAUGCUCUUGUUGCCCAGACAGCUUUUAGUAUUAGCAUUCUUACCUGUUUUCUAGCAUGCUCCCUCUUUUCAGUGAUUUUUUUCUCUGACUUGCAGUUGUUCUUGUUAUGCUGUUGUUCUAUGUAAUUUGAUAUGCUGCUAUUGUGUGGAAAGUAAUGUAACUUCAGACCAUUCACUAUUUGUGAAGAUAUCCAGAAAAGUGAUGACACACAAUUUAAUCAAAGGAUA